AGGACGAACGCUGGCGGCGUGCUUAACACAUGCAAGUGGAGCGACGAACCGGGGCUUGCCCCGGGGCAGAGCCGCGAACGGGUGAGUAACACGUGGGUAACCCACCCCGAUGACCGGGACAACCCGAGGAAACUCGGGCUAAUACCGGAUGUGCUGGCCGAUCAUCAGAUCAGUCAGCAAAGAUAGCUUCGGCCUUCGCAUCGGGACGGGCCCGCGGCCCAUUAGCUUGUUGGUGGGGUAACGGCCUACCAAGGCAACGAUGGGUAGCUGGUCUGAGAGGACGAUCAGCCACACUGGGACUGAGACACGGCCCAGACUCCUACGGGAGGCAGCAGUGGGGAAUCUUGCACAAUGCGCGAAAGCGUGAUGCAGCAACGCCGCGGUGGGGGAAGACGGCCGUUCGGUUCGUAACCCGUUCAGUUGGACGAAGCGUCGCCGGUUAAUACGCCGGCGUGGAGUGACGGUACCUUCACAAGAACGACCCCGCUAACGUACGU
rnacentral:rRNA from 1 species